UUGGCGGACGGGUGAGAAAUGUAUCGGAACGUGCCCAUGUCGGGGGGGAUAACGUAGCGAAAGCUACGCUAAUACCGCAUACGCCCUGAGGGGGAAAGCGGGGGAUUCUUCGGAACCUCGUGCGAUUGGAGCGGCCGAUGUCGGAUUAGCUAGUUGGUGGGGUAAAGGCCCACCAAGGCGACGAUCCGUAGCGGGUCUGAGAGGAUGAUCCGCCACACUGGGACUGAGACACGGCCCAGACUCCUACGGGAGGCAGCAGUGGGGUAUUUUGGACAAUGGGGGCAACCCUGAUCCAGCCAUGCCGCGUGAGUGAAGAAGGCCUUCGGGUUGUAAAGCUCUUUCGGCCGGGAAGAAAUCGUGGUCUCUAACAUAGGCCAUGGAUGACGGUACCGGACUAAGAAGCACCGGCUAACUACGUGCCAGCAGCCGCGGUAAU
rnacentral:rRNA from 1 species